CAGUUUUGAAAUUUCUGCAACUAUAUAAAGUCCCUGCGUUACUGUUAUUGAUACACGAAGUUGACUAAGUUUGCUCAACCAGCACAGAGGAACUUAUAAGCUUCAGAACACAGCAUGGACGAAGUCUGCACCAAAGUACUCGUGUUCCUCUUCAUCGUAGGUAACACAUUUCAUUCAUUGAUAAUUUUUGGCUUUGGAGGUUUGAACGAUGGAUAUCAAUGUAGGUUUGGCGAUGACUUCAACGGUGCCGAUCGGGACGGGAGCAUUGAGCAUCGUCUGCAAAAAGGAUACCGAUUGCCAGAACAUGUCAGUUAGAUUAUGGCUGCCAUGUCAAACGGGGCAACUUCUGUGUAAUUACAGACCCAGAAUCCAGUACCAGAAGUAUUGCCAGUGUAUCAAUUGGGGGGAUAGACAUAGACGACUGUUGUCGAAUUAUGAAUAGAUGCAAAAAAAACAACAACUAUCUUUUGAUCUUAUUGUUUUAGUGGAGAUGGUUAUGAACAUUGGAAGACUAAUAAGAUUUGAUUUUGUACGUGAUACGCGUACGUUUGGA
rnacentral:lncRNA from 1 species